GCGCACCAGUCGCGAAUAGUCUACAAUGGACGAAAGUCUGAUAGUGCGACGCCGUGUGUGCGAUUAAUUCCUUCGGGAUGUAAAGCACUUUUCUAUGAGAUAAAAGCUCUUUAGGUUAAUAGCUUAUUGAGACGGAUAUUAUUAUAGGAAUAAGCUCCGGCUAACUCCGUGCCAGCAGCCGCGGUAAUACGGAAGGAGCGAGCGUUGUCCGGAUUUACUAGGCGUAAAGGGCUAGUAGGCGACUAAUUAAGUUAUAUGUUAAAUCCCACGGCUCAACUGUGGUCCUGCAUGUAAUACUGGUUAGAUAGAGUACUGUAGAGGAAGGCAGAAUUCCUGGAGUAGCGGUGGAAUGCGCAGAUAUCAGGAAGAAUACCAAAAGCGAAGGCAGCCUUCUGGGCAGUUACUGACGCUGAAUAGCGAAGGUGUGGGUAGCGAACAGGAUUAGAUACCCGCGUAGU
rnacentral:rRNA from 1 species